AGCGAGGCUAGAGUCACGCCUCGACAUUGAUUUGUUGUCCCGGUGUGCUAGAGCGCUCGUAGAGGAAACGUCUCUGCUUAUUCAUUGGCGGUCAUCUACAGUGACCCCGCCAAUCACCAGCUUUGAGACAUGA